rnacentral:rRNA from 1 species
UACGUAGGGAGCAAGCGUUGUCCGGAUUCACUGGGCGUAAAGGGUGCGCAGCGGCCGUGUGUGUGAGGCGUGAAAGCCCGGGGCUUAACCCCGGAAUUGCACCUCAAACUACAUGGCUAGAGCAUUGGAGAGGGUAGCAGAAUUCAUGGUGUAGCAGUGAAAUGCGUAGAUAUCAGGAGGAACACCUGUGGCGAAGGCGGCCCUCUGGACGGAUACUGACGCUGAGACGCGAAAGCGUGGGAGCAAACAGG